CACAUAUAAAGUGAAUCGAUUGAGUGCUCGACGAUAAUGAUGGCUGGUCGACGAAUCACCCUCAGACGAUUCAUUUAGAGGUGAAUCACCCUCAGACGAUUCGUUUAGAGGUGAAUCACCCUCAGACGAUUCGUUUAGAGGUGAA